UACGAAGGGUGCAAACGUUGCUCGGAAUUAUUGGGCGUAAAGCGCACGUAGGCGGCUUUGCAAGUCGGAUGUGAAAGCCCUCGGCUCAACCAAGGAAGUGCAUCCGAAACUGCAGAGCUUGAGUACUUAAGAGGAUCGCGGAAUUCCCGGUGUAGAGGUGAAAUUCGUAGAUAUCGGGAGGAACACCGAAGGCGAAGGCAGUGUCCUGGCGAGUGACUGACGCUGAGGUGCGAAAGCCAGGGGAGCGAACGGG
rnacentral:rRNA from 1 species